rnacentral:lncRNA from 1 species
GAUGAACAGCAGUAUGGAAGUGUAAGCCGAAUAAACCCUUUCCUCCCCAACUUGCUUCUUGGUCAUGAUGUUUGUGCAGGAAUAGAAACCCUGACUAAGACAAAUUGGUACCAGGAGUGGGGUAUUCCUGUGACAACCUGACCAUGUUUUGGGGAGGUCUGUGGAAGGACUUUGGAACUUUGGUCUUGAAGAUCCAUUUGUUGUUAAGAGCUCUGUGGGAUGUUGUGUAGGAGCUUGGAAGAUAAUGUUGAGAACAGUGCAGAAGAUGGAGGCCUGGCUUGUGAAAUUUCAGAGGGAAAAUUAAAGACUCUUUUCAGGGCCAUUUCUGUUUUGAUUGUGAAGAUUCUGUAGUUCUGGUUAGCUGGGGCUGAAGAAUCAGCUGUGAUUAACAAGAUACCAGAACUACUGAAGCAAAAGCUUUGCAUUACUGGGACUAUUGAUGCUGGUUAGCUGGAGCUAAGAAAUUAGCGGUGAUUAAGAAGAGACCAGCAUCAUUGAGGUGACAUCUUCUGGGAAGUGUUUUCUGAGAGCACAGUGGCUGUGUUCCAGAUAUAGCCAAAGUUGUACCUUGUGCUGUGGCUGGACUUGGUAAUGUGUAAGAGUCACCCAGGUGGUACUGGUUUUGAAGGCAUGAAGGAGUUGAGCAGAACAGCUGAGGCUUGGCACUGUGAGAGGCCAUGGAAGGCCAUUGGUGAAAGUCCAGCCUCAUUUGCAAUUGAUGGCCCAGGACUGAAGGGGUCAUGCAGUGUUUUGGAGAUGCCAGUACCAUGAGAUGACCACCAAGAACAGCAGCAGCAGUGGAGUACAGGCAUCUGGAGCCUAGAGGAUGACGCGUGUGCUACAAAGGGCCUGGCUGGAGAAGUGACCCAAGCCCUUGGAGGAGCCCAGAAGAUUGUGAGUUGGAUCCCAGACAUUGGACAGUUGGAGAUUGACUUUUGCUUUUGAUUGUGACUGUGCCCUGAUAUUUUCCCUCUUGAAGGAAGAAACUG